ACUCUUUCCAUGUGUCUCAAUUAUUAACUACCUGAGUAUUUAUUAUGAGAUUUUUCUUUUUGAAAAAAACAUAAUUUGAACAAAAUCUAUAAAUAUUGGGCCACCACCAAGGCAAGUUCAUAAAAUGUAUUGGGCCACGGGCGGAUUUGAUACAACAAAUGUUUGGGUUUUGAAUCAUAUACUUCCUAAUGUGUACCAUGCACCUCCCCUUUCUUUUAUGAAAAGUAAAAAAUAUUGUUAAUGAGAUAGCAUCUCCCUUUCCCCAAUUCUAACACCUCCUUCAAAAAACCCAGAACCCUAACACCCUAGUGACGAGGCACCUCCCUUCCCGUGAUGAUGAUACCUCCUUCUUGCAAUGACAUAUGGUUCACCGCAACAAUUCCUCCUUCUUCGACACCACCUCUUUCCCCUUGUACCUUCCUCACAACAUCGUGGCUCUUUGUUUGCCCUCUUUCCUUUGUGCUUCGCUAUUGAUGAGAUCAACACAACAAAGAUAUUGGAAUCUCCAUCAUGGGUUGAUCAUUGAUAAAGCUUGAAGAAGUAUUGAUCUGCAUAUCAAAGGUGUAUUCAAUCCAACUUUUUAUUUCUUUCUAGUUUUUUUUAAAUCUUGGUUAGGGUUACCAAAGGAUUUUGAGUUGAUAGGGUUUCAACUCUUGAUUUUUCUCUUAUAGGGUUCAAGGGAAAAGUAGAUUUAGGAAAUUACAUGUAUAUAGUGGUUGUACUUGGUUCUCUAAUAAUGGAAUGUUCUAAGGGAUUGUAGAACAAUUGGAUGUAGGUCUUCUUGAGGAUUGAAUUAGUAUAAAUUCUUGUAUUUGAUUC